UGAACAGUAGCAUCUUAUCAAUUCUGAGUGGGCUUUCAUCCCUCAAGUCUUUGGAUCUAUCAUUAAAUAAGUUGACAGGAUCAGGUUGGUGUGAAUUGAAGAAUUUGAAGCAGUUAGAUCUCUCCGGAAAUAAUUUUAGAGGUUCACUCCCAGAUUGUUUGGGAAACUUGUCAUCUCUACAACUAUUAGAUGUUUCUAGUAACCAAUUUACUGGAAAUAUUGCCUCCGGUCCUCUUACCAAUCUCAUAUCCAUUGAAUCCCUCUCACUAUCAAAUAACCUCUUUGAAGUUCCCAUUUCAAUGAAGCCUUUUAUGAACCACUCAAGCCUCAAGUUCUUCUCCAGUGAGAACAACAGACUAGUAACAAAACCCAUGUACUUUCAUGAUUUGAUUCCAAAGUUCCAACUAGUCUUUUUCCGCUUUU